rnacentral:rRNA from 1 species
CGGGUCCUACGGGGGGCAGCAGUGGGGGAUAUUGCACAAUGGGGGAAACCCUGAUGCAGCAACGCCGCGUGAGUGAAGAAGUAUUUCGGUAUGUAAAGCUCUAUCAGCAGGGAAGAGAAUGACGGUACCUGACUAAGAAGCCCCGGCUAACUACGUGCCAGCAGCCGCGGUAAUACGUAGGGGGCGAGCGUUAUCCGGAUUUACUGGGUGUAAAGGGAGCGUAGACGGCUGGUCAAGUCUGAAGUGGAAGCCCGGGGCGUAACCCCGGAACGGCUUUGGAAACUGAGCAGCUAGAGGGGUGGAGG